UCUCCUCUUAAUUAAAACGCUAGAAGUGGGA
rnacentral:piRNA from 1 species